GACGAACGCUGGCGGCGUGCUUAACACAUGCAAGUCGAGCGAUGAAGUUCCUUCGGGAAUGGAUUAGCGGCGGACGGGUGAGUAACACGUGGGUAACCUGCCUCAUAGGGGGGAAUAGCCUUCCGAAAGGAAGAUUAAUACCGCAUAAGAUUGUAGUGCCGCAUGGCAUAGCAAUUAAAGGAGCAAUCCGCUAUGAGAUGGACCCGCGUCGCAUUAGCUAGUUGGUGAGGUAACGGCUCACCAAGGCGAGGAUGCGUAGCCGACCUGAGAGGGUGAUCGGCCACAUUGGGACUGAGACACGGCCCAGACUCCUACGGGAGGCAGCAGUGGGGAAUAUUGCACAAUGGGGGAAACCCUGAUGCAGCAACGCCGCGUGAGUGAUGAAGGUCUUCGGAUUGUAAAACUCUGUCUUCAGGGACGAUAAUGACGGUACCUGAGGAGGAAGCCACGGCUAACUACGUGCCAGCCGCCGCAGUAACAC
rnacentral:rRNA from 1 species